rnacentral:rRNA from 1 species
UUCGUAGGGUGCGAGCGUUGCCCGGAUUUAUUGGGCGUAAAGGGCGCGUAGGCGGCUCUGCACGUCCGUUGUGAAAUCGCCCGGCUCAACUGGGCGGGGUCAGCGGAUACGGCGGAGCUUGAGCAAGCUAGGGGGCAAUGGAAUUCCCGGUGUAGUGGUGGAAUGCGUAGAUAUCGGGAGGAACACCAGUGGCGAAGGCGGUUGCCUGGGGCUUUGCUGACGCUGAUGCGCGAAAGCGUGGGGAGCGAACAGG